rnacentral:rRNA from 1 species
UACGUAGGGGGCAAGCGUUGUCCGGAAUUAUUGGGCGUAAAGAGCGUGUAGGCGGCCAGAUAAGUCCGCUGUGAAAUCUCGAGGCUCAACUUCGAGCUGUCGGUGGAAACUAUCUGGCUAGAGUCCGGAAGAGGAGAAUGGAAUUCCUGGUGUAGAGGUGAAAUUCGUAGAUAUCGGGAGGAACACCUGUGGCGAAAGCGGCGCACUGGACCACAACUGACGCUGAGGCGCGAAAGCUAGGGGAGCAAACAGG